AACUGUGUGUACUGAUGACAAAAGUUACGAAUCGCUGCCAGGUCGUGGUGAUGAGUAUGGCAGUUCUGAUGAAGGACAAGAAAUCACGGGACAUGCGUCAGUUUUGUACUCUUACAAUGAGAGAUAUAAGAAUUCUAGUGAGAAUUUGCUCAAAACAGAAAUGGGGUCAGAAAGAGUUGUUACUCUUUCUGAGAGUGGUGCUCUUCCCACAACCAAGGACCGCGAUACUAAAGCAGCACUGUUGUUGUCAACGUCGUCCAGCGCCACAGCUGACAGGUCGGAUGGCAAUAACAAAUAUACCUGGCGCAAGGACAGGAACUGGCCUUCCAUGUGAAUGUCUUGCUUUGACAUGUCAGUUGACCAUCCGCGCGCAGACAUCGUGCACUGCUUCCAAUUGGGUAUGCCACUGCAGAGAGGUGAGGUAAGUGCAGGCUGCACAGGUGCGUCUAAGAAGACUACUCGAAGAGCUGGAUUAUUGUGUGCUGUUGUGAACA